rnacentral:rRNA from 1 species
AUUGAACGCUGGCGGCAUGCUUUACACAUGCAAGUCGAACGGCAGCGGGGGAGAAGCUUGCUUUUCCUGCCGGCGAGUGGCGAACGGGUGAGUAAUACAUCGGAACGUGCCCUGUAGUGGGGGAUAACUAGUCGAAAGAUUAGCUAAUACCGCAUACGACCUGAGGGUGAAAGUGGGGGACCGCAAGGCCUCAUGCUAUAGGAGCGGCCGAUGUCUGAUUAGCUAGUUGGUGGGGUAAAGGCCCACCAAGGCGACGAUCAGUAGCUGGUCUGAGAGGACGAUCAGCCACACUGGGACUGGGACACGGCCCAGACUCCUACGGGAGGCAGCAGUGGGGAAUUUUGGACAAUGGGCGAAAGCCUGAUCCAGCAAUGCCGCGUGUGUGAAGAAGGCCUUCGGGUUGUAAAGCACUUUUGUCCGGAAAGAAAUGGCUCUGGUUAAUACCUGGGGUCGAUGACGGUACCGGAAGGAUAAGGACCGGCUAACUACGUGCCAGCCGCCGCGGUAA